rnacentral:tRNA from 1 species
AGCUCAGUGGUGUAGUGGUUAAUGCAUUGGACUUUGGAUCUAUAGGUUGGUGGUUCGAGUCCA